rnacentral:rRNA from 1 species
UACUAACUCUGGCGGCGUGCUUAACACAUGCAAGUCGAACGGAAAGGCCCUGCUUUUGUGGGGUGCUCGAGUGGCGAACGGGUGAGUAACACGUGAGUAACCUGCCCUUGACUUUGGGAUAACUUCAGGAAACUGGGGCUAAUACCGGAUAGGAGCUCCUGCUGCAUGGUGGGGGUUGGAAAGUUUCGGCGGUUGGGGAUGGACUCGCGGCUUAUCAGCUUGUUGGUGGGGUAGUGGCUUACCAAGGCUUUGACGGGUAGCCGGCCUGAGAGGGUGACCGGCCACAGUGGGACUGAGAUACGGCCCAGACUCCUACGGGAGGCAGGAGUGGGGAAUAUUGCACAAUGGGCGGAAGCCUGAUGCAGCAACGCCGCGUGCGGGAUGACGGCCUUCGGGUUGUAAACCGCUUUCGCCUGUGACGAAGCGUGAGUGACGGUAAUGGGUAAAGAAGCACCGGCUAACUACGU